UGACACUGCACACUUCACGUACUCCUCAUGCGUGCACGACAGUUCAUCAAAUACCCUGAUGGUAUUCUUCAACAAAAACUCUGCUCUCUUCGGGUUGUCAUCUAUGUUAGCCUAAAAUUCCUCUCGAAAUAUUUAUAAGGCCUUCUUGCGGAAAUUCUUGGUUGUAAAAAAAAACAACCAUUUGCGCACGCCGUGCCUUGAACCCAGGCACCUCCCAUG
rnacentral:lncRNA from 1 species